rnacentral:rRNA from 1 species
GACGAACGCUGGCGGCGUGCUUAACACAUGCAAGUGGAGCGACGAACCAGGCUUCGGCCUGGGGCAGAGCCGCGAACGGGUGAGUAACACGUGGGUAACCUGCCUCGAUGACCGGGACAACCCGGGGAAACCCGGGCUAAUACCGGAUGUGCUGCCUUCACAUCAGUGGAGACAGGAAAGGAAGCUUCGGCCUCCGCAUCGAGAUGGGCCCGCGGCCCAUUAGCUUGUUGGNGAGGUAAUGGCUCACCAAGGCCGCGAUGGGUAGCUGGUCUGAGAGGACGAUCAGCCACACUGGGACUGAGACACGGCCCAGACUCCUACGGGAGGCAGCAGUGGGGAAUCUUGCGCAAUGCGCGAAAGCGUGACGCAGCAACGCCGCGUGGGGGAAGAAGGGCCUUCGGGUU